AUGGUUCAUUGGAUCAGUCUAAAACUUUGCACAUGCACUGCUGCCACUAGUGGCCGAAAUCUAAAUUGCACCUGGGGCUUGGGCCCCGUGUACACAUGCUGCUCUUCCCUCCGUUCCUCCGCCCCGUGUACACAUGCUGCUCUUCCUCCUCCGUUCCGUGUACACAUGCUGCUCUUCCUCCUCCGCCCUCUGCUCCGUGUACACAUGCCGCCUCUUCCUCCUCCGCCCUCUGCUCCGUGUACACAUGCUGAUCUUCCUCCUCCGCCCCUGCCCCUCUGCUCCGUGUACACAGGCUCUCUCCUCCUCCGCCCCUGCCCCCUCUGCUCCGUGUACACAUGCUGCUCUUCCUCCUCCGUCCUCGCCCUCCUCCGUGUACACAUGCUGCCUCUUCCUCCUCCGCCCUCUGCUCCGUGUACACAUGCUGCUUCUUCCUCGUCCGUUCCGUCCUCCCGCCCUCUGCUCCGUGUACACAUGCUGCUCUUCCUCCGCCCCUGCCCCCUCUGCUCCGUGUACACAUGCUGCCUUCCUCCUCCGCCCUCUGCCUCCGUGUACACAUGCUGCUCUUCCUCCUCCGUUCCUCCGCCCCUCUGCUCGUGUACACAUGCUGCCUUCCUCCUCCGCCCUGCCCCCUCUGCUCCUACACAUGCUGCCUUCCCUCCUCCUCCGCCUCCUGGCUGUCUCCGUGUACACAUGCUGCUCUUCCUCUCGCCCCUGCCCCCUCUGCUUCUGCUCCGGGGGACACAGGCUGCGCUUCCUUCAGAAAAGCAUCCAUCACAACUUGGUUCAUUUGCAAAUAUCUCUCGUUCACUUUCGCUUGUAAAUGUCCACACUCACCGAAAAUUACAUAAGGAAGCUACUAGCUAUUGUUCUAUAACUUUAUAAAGCUGGAUUUGCCUCUUUGCAUAUAGUUUGUUUGUUUUCACCCAUUAGCAUUUUGCUAAGAGUGUGUGAUUUCUCUAUUAAAUUUGUGCAAAUUUUGUUAGCAUUCUUACAAUAGAAUGCACUCCUUGUGUGCCAUGCCGGUAAAACCAUAAAUCCCAGGACGAGAAGAACGGUAUGAACAUCUGAGUACCGCCCAUCCUACUGAAUAGCAUACCAGGCCAGUUACAACACAAACUUCUGGGUACCGCCCAUCCUACUGAAUAGGAUACCAGGCCAGUUACAACACAAACUUCUGGGUACCGCCCAUCCUACUGAAUAGGAUACCAGGCCAGUCACCACACCCUAAAAAAUGUUCACAAUAUAUCAACAUGAACUUUUACCAGUUGAAUGUAGACAAACAUUUUUCUAUUAUCAACAACUUUGCACAUUUCUGGGGUUUAAACAAAAUAUGCAAAUCAGUCAUGUUGGGUAAUAAAGUAUGUUGAGUAAUAACAGAUUACGGAUAGAAGCAGGCUACCUGGCCUGCGCGCAAAUGUAGAAAUGUGUCCAUUUGGGAUCUCUGAUAGUUAAGACAAUCAAACUCACCACCACUAAUGAACUGUAUUGUAUUCUUCACCUCAAAUUAAGUAAACAAAGUCUUUUUUUACAUCGAAUGACAAUAGUUACUCAAUGAAGUUCAAUUUUUUAUUUUUUUCGAGCUCUCUCCAAUUUUGAUAACCACCGAUAACACCGAGGCUCAUAAAAUGCCCAAUUCAUUUGUUAUCCCUUGUGGAAAUACAGCCGUUUCUGUCCAGAGCUCACUGGUGCCCGAGGGGCCAGAACAGUUGGUACAAUGCUGCAAGUUUGUUGGCAAGUUUAAUUUAAUGUACUUACAUUUCCCUCACUAACUUUCAACAUCAGCUAUCUGAGCAGCUAACCGAUCACUGCAGCUGGACACAGCCCAUCUGUAAAUAGCCCACCCAAUCUACCUACCUCAUCCCCAUACUGUUCUUAUUUACUUUGCUGCUCUUUUGCACACCAGUAUCACUACAUACACAUCAUCUGCUCAUCUAUCACUCCAGUGUUAAUCUGCUAAAUUGUAGUCACUUUGCUACUAGUUAUUGACUUACCUCCUCACUCCAAUUGCACACACUGUAUAUAGACUUUUCUAUUGUGUUAUUGACUGUACACUUGUUUAUUCCAUGUGUAACUCUGUUGUUUGUGUCGCACUCCUCCU
ensembl:lncRNA